GAUGAACGCUGGCGGCGUGCUUAACACAUGCAAGUCGAACGAGAAAUGGAGACGGAAACCUUCGGGCGGAAGGCUUCAUUUCGAGUGGCGGACGGGUGAGUAACGCGUGGGUAACCUGCCUCAUACAGGGGGAUAACAGUUGGAAACGACUGUUAAUACCGCAUAAGACCACAGCACCGCAUGGUGCGGGGGUAAAAACUCCGGUGGUAGGAGAUGGACCCGCGUUGGAUUAGCCAGUUGGCGGGGUAACGGCCCACCAAAGCGACGAUCGAUAGCCGAUCUGAGAGGAUGACCGGACACAUUGGGACUGAGACACGGCCCAAACUCCUACGGGAGGCAGCAGUGGGGAAUAGUGCACAAUGGGGGAAACCCUGAUGCAGCGCCGCCGCGUGAGUGAAGAAGUACUUCGGUAUGUAAAGCUCUAUCAGCAGGGAAGAAAAUGACGGUACCUGAGUAAGAAGCCCCGGCUAACUACGUG
rnacentral:rRNA from 1 species